UUAUGCGCCCAGGGUCAUCAGAAAAUGUUCCUGUUCCUCCACACAGACUGUCAGGCAGGUCUGGGCUGGGGAGGAGUUUCAGGCACAGGAAGCUGUAAGAACUCAUCAGGGUCUGGAUUGACAGGGUUUGUGGGUGGAGCUGACUGGUUUCAGGAGCAGGGACAGAUCCAGAGCCAUCCUGACACCACAGCCCAGGCUUUGGUUACACACAUUUCCAUCUCUCACAGUCAGACACGCAUCAUGAAGAGGCUGCUGGGCUCCCUGAUGGGUCUUCUGUGCACCCAGGUUUGCUGGGUGAAAGGACAACAACAAGUAGUACAGAGUCCUGGAGCCUUGAGUCUCCAGGAGGGAGACGAUAGCAGCAUGCGGUGCAACUUCUCCACCUCUUCAUCCACUGUGCAGUGGUUUUACCAGAAUGCCGAGGGCCGCCUCAUCAGCCUGUUUUCCAAUCCCUCGGGAACAAAGCAGAGUGGAAGACUAAAGUCCACGACAGACGCUAAGGAACGCCGCAGCUCCCUGCACAUCUCCUCCUCCCAGACCACAGACUCCGGCACUUUUGUGUGGUGGACACACAGUGCUCCCCAGGCACCUGCAGUCUGAACACAAACUUCAGCU